rnacentral:rRNA from 1 species
GUCGAGCGGAUGAAAGGAGCUUGCUCCUGGAUUCAGCGGCGGACGGGUGAGUAAUGCCUAGGAAUCUGCCUGGUAGUGGGGGACAACGUUUCGAAAGGAACGCUAAUACCGCAUACGUCCUACGGGAGAAAGCAGGGGACCUUCGGGCCUUGCGCUAUCAGAUGAGCCUAGGUCGGAUUAGCUAGUUGGUGAGGUAAUGGCUCACCAAGGCGACGAUCCGUAACUGGUCUGAGAGGAUGAUCAGUCACACUGGAACUGAGACACGGUCCAGACUCCUACGGGAGGCAGCAGUGGGGAAUAUUGGACAAUGGGCGAAAGCCUGAUCCAGCCAUGCCGCGUGUGUGAAGAAGGUCUUCGGAUUGUAAAGCACUUUAAGUUGGGAGGAAGGGUUGUAGAUUAAUACUCUGCAAUUUUGACGUUACCGACAGAAUAAGCACCGGCUAACUCUGUGCCAGCAGCCGCGGUAAUACAGAGGGUGCAAGCGUUAAUCGGAAUUACUGGGCGUAAAGCGCGCGUAGGUGGUUUGUUAAGUUGGAUGUGAAAUCCCCGGGCUCAACCUGGGAACUGCAUCCAAAACUGGCAAGCUAGAGUAUGGUAGARGGUGGGUGGAAUUUCCUGUGUAGCGGUGAAAUGCGUAGAUAUAGGAAGGAACACCAGUGGCGAAGGCGACCACCUGGACUGAUACUGACACUGAGGUGCGAAAGCGUGGGGAGCAAACAGGAUUAGAUACCCUGGUAGUCCACGCCGUAAACGAUGUCAACUAGCCGUUGGGAGCCUUGAGCUCUUAGUGGCGCAGCUAACGCAUUAAGUUGACCGCCUGGGGAGUACGGCCGCAAGGUUAAAACUCAAAUGAAUUGACGGGGGCCCGCACAAGCGGUGGAGCAUGUGGUUUAAUUYGAAGCAACGCGAAGAACCUUACCAGGCCUUGACAUCCAAUGAACUUUCCAGAGAUGGAUUGGUGCCUUCGGGAACAUUGAGACAGGUGCUGCAUGGCUGUYGUCAGCUCGUGUCGUGAGAUGUUGGGUUAAGUCCCGUAACGAGCGCAACCCUUGUCCUUAGUUACCAGCACGUAAUGGUGGGCACUCUAAGGAGACUGCCGGUGACAAACCGGAGGAAGGUGGGGAUGACGUCAAGUCAUCAUGGCCCUUACGGCCUGGGCUACACACGUGCUACAAUGGUCGGUACAGAGGGUUGCCAAGCCGCGAGGUGGAGCUAAUCCCACAAAACCGAUYGUAGUCCGGAUCGCAGUCUGCAACUCGACUGCGUGAAGUYGGAAUCGCUAGUAAUCGCGAAUCAGAAUGUCGCGGUGAAUACGUUCCCGGGCCUUGUACACACCGCCCGUCACACCAUGGGAGUGGGUUGCACCAGAAGUAGCUAGUCUAACCUUCGGGAGGAC